UUUUAAAUGGUAUGUCUGACACAACUUUUAAGAUCGGUUACAAAAUCACUGAUCUUAAAAGUUGUAUCAGAUAUAACUUUUAAGA
rnacentral:miRNA from 1 species